GAUGAAGAACGUAGCGAAAUGCGAUAAGUAAUGUGAAUUGCAGAGUUCAGUGAAUCAUCGAAUCUUUGAACGCACAUUGCGCCCGCUAGUAUUCUGGCGGGCAUGCCUGUCCGAGCGUCAUUUCAACCCUCAAGCCCCCGGGCUUGGUGUUGGGGAUCGGCGAGCCUCCGCGCCCGCCGUCCCCUAAAUCUAGUGGCGGUCUCGCUGUAGCUUCCUCUGCGUAGUAGCACACCUCGCACUGGGAAACAGCGCGGCCACGCCGUUAAACCCCCAACUUCUGAACGUUUGACCUCGGAUCAGGUAGGAAUACCCGCUGAACUUAAGCAUGUCAAUAAGCGGAGGA
rnacentral:misc_RNA from 1 species